rnacentral:lncRNA from 1 species
UUGGGACAAGAAGCGAAGAAACAGAGAAGGAGACAUAAAAAAGGAGGAAAAAGAAGGAAUAUGUGUUGGCUUUUAAGUUUUCAUUCAUCAAUUCUCCUUAUUUUCAAGAGGUAAGUAAAAAUUAUGUUAAUUGAAUUUUUAUGGUUUAUGGAAAAUUGCUCAUAUUUGAAGUUUAGCAAGAAUUAAUAAUUAUGGAUAUGUAUUUGAGGUAUUUAACAAUAAGAGUAAUAUAUAGUGGAAGAUUAGUGUUGUAGUGCAAGAAAUAUGAAAUGGGUUUGUAAAUUAGAGCUUGAAUUUUUUAUUUAUUGAGUGUAUCUGAUAUAAUACACUUGAUAUAUGAUGUAUUUCAAUGAGAUAUGGAGUUGAGGUUGAAUUUUGAUAUUUUUAAUCAAUUUUCGUGCAAAAUUCAUGUACAAGUGCUAUUUUUGAAAUUAAUCCCAGAAAGUGCUAUUCUUGUCAAUAGUUUCAGUGAUAGUUUUCAAUAUGCAAAAAUAGAUGUCAAACUUCAGUACUCUGGGAUUUUAGUAAUGUUUUUGUCAAAAACCUUUAUUUUCUAAGAUUUACAAGUUUGAAUGAAACUAAAUGAUAAAUAUUGAAGCCUAGGUAUUGGAUUAAAUCAUGUAUGGGGGUUGUAUAAGUAUAAAGGUAGUAGUUUUAAGAAAGUAUUGAUAAUCUAAUGGAUUAGAUUAUGUGCGGUAAUUGACUGCUUAUAAUCAAAGAUAAGUUAGGGAGAUUGAGAUGCAAGAAUAAAUAUAGUAGUUGAGGAAUUACACGGUGGAUUUAAAUUAAUUUAAUUGUCAUGUUUUAUUUGGGUUAUUAUACCGUUAUUUCAGAUAGUGACGUGAAAAUUUGGAAAUGUUCAUCAAUAUAACCAGAUUGCUAUCCAUAGAUCCGCGAGUGGAAAAACUUAAAUAUUUUCAAGUAUUGAUAAAUUGAUUAUACUAUUACGUAACAUGGGAUUAUGUGAAUUAUUUCAGUUACAUGAUUAUUAACAAAUGUUCCCUCACUACGAUAUGUGUGGAAUUAGGAAUGUGCCUUUGGUGAUCGUGGGAGGUUUGAUCACUUGCUUGUGCCGUUGUGAUAUGGUGAUUUUACUAUCUAGGGUGGGAUACUUCUUGACUAAUCAUGGGAGCUGUUAGGGGUUGUACCUCUUGUGAUCACAGGAGGAUGGUCCACUCGAUUGUGAAAUUGUGUUUAUUAGCAUCUCGGGUAGGAUACUUCUUGGGUGAUUAUGAUGGCUAUCAGGGGAUUUGUCUUUGAUAAUCACAGGAGGAUUGGCCACUCGACUAUGCCCAGUUGGUUAUUGAAUAUUGAUAUUGAUAUUAUGUAAAACUCUAUCCGGUAUCUAGUAGGUGUGUCAAGGGCCCAAUAAAAAUGAAAGUUUCAAAUGAAAAUAUUUCGAGUUUACAUUGAUGAUCUUAUCAUGUUUGCGAGAUGUUAUUUUUCAAUAUUACAAGAAUGAUUCCUAUCUCAAUUAUUAUUAAAUAAUGUUAUAUCGUGACUUGUUAAAUAAUAUAGACUCGAUUUUGAUACAAAAGUAUAAGUCCCCGUUUGGUAAUAUUUUUUCACCCAAAAAAUCAAUUUUUUGACCACUAUUUCAUUAUUUUAACCGUCAUUUUUUACUUCUUCCCUCAAAGGCAAGACCAACUUUUCUCUUUAAGGGUCAAAAAAUAAAUUCUCGUAAUCACUAUUGAACAGCUCGAACGUCUCCACCCACUGAGGAAUCAAAUUAUAUAUUCUCCCAUGAUUUUUCCUACAGGCAACAAUUGAUUUUUGAUAGCUUGAGGAGUUUGAUCAUUUUGGAGUUAGAACUACAUGACAUAUUGAGUGAUAUGAGUCAUUUGGAUUAAACAUGAAAUAAUUAUUUUGGAUCAUCGCAUUAUUCUUUUUAUAAGCAUUCGAUUUUGCUGCAUGUUUUAUAGUAACUCAUAUUAAUCCUUGGUGAUGGAUCUUGCAUCUAGUCAGCAUUUAUCAUCGGCACACAUCAUGUUUCAGAUCCACAAUGGUGAUUUGAGAUGGGUUAUGUCAUUUCUCAUCCUCAUCAUCAAAGAUUUACUUCUGUAUAAUCUUCUCGGCUCAGUGAAAGAGAACAUUCAUGUAUAAAGAACACGUGAGUUCGACAAAAAUGGCAUGUAGGCAAAUUUUUGGUAUAUAUGUUAAGUCACUUGAUCAUGAGUUGAUAUGAAUCGAACUUGAAAAAUCUUUACUCACUACUCGUUCACGAAUAAAUUGAUAAUCAAGUUCUAUAUGUUUAGCACGUGCAUUAAAUAUUGGAUUUAGAGAAAGAUGUAUGGCACUGAUAUUGUCACACCAAAAAGUUGUCGGUUUAUCCAAACCAAACCAAUUUCUUUUAAAAAAGAAGACAACUAAAUAUCCUCAGCCAUAGCAUUUGCCAAGGCCUUAUAUUUACCUUCAGUUGAGGAUCUAGUAAUGGUGAAUUAUUUCUUUGCGGUCCAUGAGACUAAAUUAUUUCCAAGAAAAAUUCCAUACCCACUUGUAGAUACUCUAUCAUUGGGGCAUCGUACCCAAUUACUGUCAGCAAAUCAAUGUAAUUUGUUAGGUCCAAAUGGAAUUGGCUAUUUCCAUGUUCAAAUCAUAGUGUUAUUGAACUCUAAUUAAAGUCAAAAGAGUCGAGGAUUGGUAGUAUAGGUCUUAAAGGAGUCAAAGGAAAAAUAGCCUAAAAAACUCUUGCCAACCAUGCGGAUGGAACUCGAGCAGAAAAAAAGCAAGAGUUUUACCAUUUGUGUAAAAACGAAAGAAAUCCAAAGUUUUAGAACCAAAGUGUCAACAUUCAACAGUUGAUUGGACCAUAAAAUGAUAAUUGAAGAUACAUAUGAUCAAUUGGAUGCAACUUGAAGUCAAAUGAGUGAAUAAUAAUUGAAGUAUUUUCACAAAUCAAUUUCCAGUCAAACAAGUUAUGCUCUGAAGUUUUAUGAUCAAAUUGAGGCCCAUUUUAUGGAUAGCAAACAAUUGAAUUGGAAACACUUUAUUUCUAGAAAAUUUUUAUUUCUUUCGGUUGUCUUUCCGACAUACUUUGAAUUAUCUCAAUCGUAUAUUGGAAGAGAAGUUACGAUUAAAAUAUUAAAAGCUAUUUAGGGACAAAGUCCGCAAACUUGCACGCACGCAAGACACAAAAUUUUGGCUCGGGACCCAUUUGAAUCGAUGGUACGUGCAUGGAGGUUAUGCCUGUAUGCAAGCGUGGGCGAUUUUCGCAGUUGAAUUAGCAAAUUUCUUUCUCAAUUCAAACUAUUUUGGAACUCAAACAAGACGCAAUUUUGACCUAUUUUCUAGCUCUUAUAAGUACAAAACAGGGGUCAUGCAUGGAAUAAAGCUCUUUCUCACCUCUUCAUACUCAAUAAUAUCAUAAAAUCAUCAAGCACAAGAGAUCAAUUCAUCACUCUAGAGAAAGAAGAUCAAACCCUAGCAAGGAAAUGAAGCUCAAUUACAUCAUGAUUUUGAAUAAUUCAAUCGUAGACCUGUAGAUCAACAUCGUUUGAACUCUUUCAUGAUCCAGGUGAUAUUUUUCCAUUAUUCUUCUAGUAAUUUAUAUAUUAGUAUGCUAGGAUAGAUCCUCUUUUAUAUUGGAUGAAGAUUAACCCUAUUCUUUAUUUAUUUCUAAUUCAAAAUGUUUAGUUUAGUAUUUCUUGAGUUUCUUGACUAAUUUUGCAUAUCCAUUGCAUUAUUUAAUUAUUUGGCCAUCAAUCAGAUAAUUAGUAGCUUGUUGUAAUGUUAGAGACUCACAAAAAUUAAAACGCGGCAAAAUUAACAUAUGUUCAAUAGAUGUUAGGAAUAAUAUCUAUCACACAUGCAAUCAUAUAGAUAAUCUAAACUUUAUAGCAUUAUAGUCAAUUGAAUUUGGGCUAGGAAUAAGUUCGGGACGUGGUUAGGAUAGAUCUAAUUUGCCUUGGAAAAGAAAAUUAUAUAUUAUAGUUUUAUUGAUUGUCACGAAUGCAUGAACGAAACUAGAUUAUAAAUCAAGAAUUGAAAUAGAUAGUAAUGGGUGGAAUCUAGAUCCAACAUAAUCGUACAUAUUUGAUAGAAAUACUACUUAGAUUAACUUAGAAAAAUUGCAAAAUCAAAUUCUCUUUUGUUUUAUAAAAUUCGAAUUCCAUACAUAAUUUGUAAUCUCGAACUUAAAUUUAUUCCCCAUGGGACAAUACUCUCAACUGGCUCAAAUCUAUUACUUGUCAACGAUCCCGUAAGCUUGCGAAUUUUACACUAACGAGUUUUUGGCACCGUUGCAGGGAAUAACGUAUCUACUUUGUAUUUAUUAGGUUUUAUAGAAUUUGAAUUUUCUUUUACGUUGUUUUCAGCUAUUAAUUAUACAUAUAAUUUCUCCUUUUUGUUUUUUGGCAGUUUAUUUAAGAUUCUAGAGAAAUCAAGCUCCUACCAUUGGAUCUCGAAAAUCAAAAGAACUUUCAAACAACGAAAAAUCGAACAGAGAGAAACUAGAAAAAUAACAGAAGAUCAAAAUUAAAUUUAAUCACCACCAGAUCCGCCAAGAGUAGCUGCUAAUCAUGGAGAAGCUUUCGGGGAUUAUAUGAAUCUCAUCCGAACUCAUGCACAAUCGACUAUUAUCUAUCCUCCUUUUUGACAGCUAACUUCCAAACUCUACCAGAUGUCAUUAAUUUGUUUCAAAAUCAUUAGGACAUCAGGUUCUCUAAAAGAUCAACUGAAAGUCCCCACGAACAUGUUCAGGCCUUCUUGAUGCUUUGCGAUAUGAUUAGUUAUGAAGGCAUGUCUGUUGACGCUUUUCGACUGUGCUAAUUCCCUUAUACAUUAAAGGAAGACGCAUGAGAAUGGCUAAACUCACUUAAUCCUGGGAGUAUCAUUUCAUGGAAUGACAUGGUGCAGAAAUUCACUCAGAAAUUCUUCUGGCCUUCUUGAGUCCAUCAGAUCUGAAAUGAAGUCCAUAUUUUUAAGCAAAUGGACCUCGAGAGCUGUCCAGAAGCAUAUGAAAGAUUCAAAAAUCACUUCAAAAAGUGCCCCAAUCUGAACAUUUCUAAGGACUCUAAGAUCUACAUAUUCUAACUAAGCCUAAGACUUGAAUUCUGCAACAUAGCCGAUACUUCAACAUGAGGGUCAAUCUUGAAUAUUCUCUUGGACAAUGCCUUAGGCCUUUUUUGAAAAAUCAGUCUAUUUGCCUAUAGAUCGGGAAGCGUCAAAUAAAAUAGCAUGGAUUUACAACAAUAAUGUAGUGAUAGCUAUGAUUGGACAAACUAACUCAGAAUGUAAGCAUGGUGCACCAACCAACGCCAGUUUGUGGAGGAAGUAGGAUAGAUCAUAUAACUACAAAUUGUCCGUUACCCUCCACCUAUUUUAUCAGCUUGAGGAGGUCAGUUAUGUAGGGAACCUUCAGAGAAAACAAACAAUCCUUACUCCAACACCUAUAAUCUAAUUUGAAGCAAGCAUCCGAACUUCUCAUGGGUAAAUAAUCAAGGUCAAGGAUAUUAGAUUUAGGGCAACUUACUAGGAUUUUAGCAACAAUAAGAGAAGAGGUCAUCAUUGGAAGAAUUAGUGGCUCUGUUCAUCACCAAAAAUAAGACUAAUUUUCAAAAUUUGUAGGCUACAAUUAAAAAUUUAGAAACUCGAAUGGAUAGAUAGUAGCUGUAUUGGCCAAUAGAACACAGAGUAUACUGCGAAGCGACACCUAAAAGAACCAAAGAGAACACGUAUUAGUAGUUAAAGCUGCGAAUCAUACAAUUAUUAAUACACCAUCAUACAAACCCGUUAUCCUUGUUCGUACUUAUGUACCGCGUACUCCAUUCUCUCAAAAGCUUCAAAAAUAACCUAAAGAGGAACAAGUUUAGGCCAUCACAAUGAGAAUGGGAGUUCGACUGCCAAAAAUCACGGGAAAGAAAAAAGUGAUAGAGGAGAAUCAAAUAUCUACCAUUGGUGAGAAAAAAGUAGUUCAACUUGAAGGCUCAGCAAAUGUUAGUCAAGAAAAAUAAUAAGACAGUCCACAGGUUAGGGAACUGCUUCUGUUAAUAAAUAUGCACCUUCAAUCAUAUUCUAUCAAAGGUUACAUAACAAAAAGUUGGAAAAGCAAUAUAAGAAGUUCUUGGAUAUCCUUAGACAACUUCACAUUAACAUUUGUUUCAUUUUCGCCAUUCAAAAGAUUCCAAACUAAACAAAGUUUUCUGAAAGAUAUGUUGACUAAGAAAAAGAAGUUUCUACUAGAUGAAACAUUGAUAUUAACUAAAGAGUGCAGUGUAAUCAUAAAGGAGAUGCUCCCUCUGAACUAAAAGAUCCAAGGAGUUUCACUAUAACUUACUCUUUAGGAAAUUUUCAUAACUUAAAUGUUUUAAUUGAUUCUAGAGCAAGUAUUAAUCUAAUGUCACUGUCUAUCUAUAGGAAAUUAGGAUUGGAUGAUUUAAAAGCUACAUCAAUGAUCCUACAGCUGGUUGACAGGUAUUUAAGCAUCAUUAUGGAAUGGUAGAGGAUAUGCUCAAGUUGGAGAUAAUUUUUUUGUUGCUAAUUUCAUCUUCCUUAAUAUAGAUGCUCAUCAUAUGCUAUUAAUCUUGGGGGAGAUUAUUCUUAGCAACAGCACGAGCAUUAAUGGUUUUGAGAAUGGUGAGUUAAUCAUAAGAAUGAAAGGAACUCAAGCAACCACUUAACAUAGAGGAACGUUGAAAGAUCGAACAUUAGGAAAGCAACAAGAACAAGAAAGAAGAAGGUGGAAUUAUAAUAUGGAGGUUCAAAGAUGAACUAAUGAACAACUAUCAUUACAACCAAUGCAAGGCUAAAAACUCUUUUUUCAAGUCAUCAUGAAUAGCCAAGAUAUCAAAAUCAAGCUAAUGACUAUAAAUAAAUACUUAUCGGGAGACAACCCAAUGUUCAUCCCUUUCAUUUAUUUUGCCUUUUUAGAUAUAGGAUUCGUACUUUUUAUUGAUUUUAGUAAUAUAAAUAUCUUCAUUGCCAUAUUUCCUUUUAGGAUGUGUUUGAACUUAUUAUAAAACGUUCAACGUUAUUGUUAAUUUUCUAAUUAUUUUGAAGGAACAUAACACCUAAACACAUUGGACAAGGAAUGAUACAUAAACAAGUGAUCCAGCACUUUUAAUGCCACUCCAUCCAUCACCUACAGAUUUAUACUGGGAGAGUACUUAGUUCCCUUCUUUGCCCUUAAUUUUUGUAUAUUACUUGUUUUAUUUAUAGACAUUGACAGCAAUGUCUAUUAUAAGUUUGGAGGUGAAAAAAUAUGGAAUUUUUAUUUAUUUUUAUUGUUUUAUGUGUUUGUUCGAGUGCAAAAAAAUCCAAAAUAGUAAUUUAUUUUCAGCUUAUUUUUCGUUUUCUGUGCUUGUGUGGAUUCGAUAAAUUUGGUUACUGUGAUGAAUACAUUUGGAACCAUGUGUUAGACUAUAAAUUGUGAAAAAUUGACAAGUUAGGGUUGAUUUAUAAACUUGAUAUUUUUUGGCACAAGAUUUAUGUUUUGCAUAUUUCGAUUCAAAUUUGAAUAGGCUGAAAAAAUAUAGUGGACCUUAGAUGCUAAAUCCAAACAACCACUAAAUUAUACAUUCUUAAAUCAAAUUUAGAAUAGUUUGGUUGUUGUAGGGAGACGUUGAGAUAAAUGUACAUUUCAUGUGUGCUAAAUUUUGAGCAGAUUGUCUAAGGCCAAUAAGAUGAAAAUUAGGUGAAAAUCUUACCUUAGGGUCAUUUUUUGCAAAUAGGAUAAAAGAUAAGUCUAACUAUUAAGGGUCAGGAUUUGAAUCUCUCUAUGAAUUUAUAAUGCUUAACGUGAAUUUUCACACACACGUUGAUUUUGCAUUACAUAAGUAGAAAUUAAUUUUAGCAUUGUGAUUUUGUAGCAUGUCAUUAUCUUAAUACAUAUAUUCCAUUCUUGAGAACAAAAGUAAGUUAUCUAACCAUUUGUUUUUAAAAAUUUUGGUUAAGGAGGAUAUGGUUUUGUUUGAGAACAAACAAAUGUUCAAGUUUGGGGUGUUAGAUAAGUUUUUUUGUACACUUAUCUAGGCCAUUUAAACUGGAACAUUUGCUAGUGAUUUGGAUAACUUAUAGCUUAAUUAUGUAUUAGUUAUGUUAGUUACAUUGAAUUCAAUACAAAUUGGUGGAAUCGGAAGAAAGGAACAAAAAAAAGUAAAAGAAAGAAAUUCAAAGUUGGGGAACCGAAGUGUAUACAUUCAGUAGUUGAUUUGGAUCAUAAAAUGAUGAUUAAAGAUCAGAUAUGAUCAAUUGAAUGCAAUUUAAAGUCAAAUAAAUGAAAUAUAGUUGAAAUAUUUUCACAAAUCAAUUUUCAGCUGAAGAAGUUAUACUCUGAAUUUUUAGCAUCAAAUUAGGACCCAUGUUUCAGAUAGCAAACAUUUGAAUCGGAAAAAUUGUACUUCUAUAAGAAUUAUAGCCCUUUUGGUCCUUUUUCAAAUGUACUCUGAAUGAUCUCAAUCAGAUACUGAAAGAGAAAAUUAUGAGUAGAAUACCAAAAGACACUUAGGGAGGAACUCUGAGAACCUACGUGGCAAAAAAUUUUUGACCCGAGAUCCAUUGGGAUCAAUGGUGCACUCACAAUGGUUAUGCUUAUGUGCGUGCAUGGGCCAUUUUCGCAGAUGAAUCUGUAGUUUUCUUUCGCGAUACAAAACAAGGGCUAUGCAUGGAAAAAAAACUCUCUCCUGCUUCAUUAUACUCAAUAAUAUCCUAAAAUCAUUAAGAACAAGAGGUCAAUUCAUCACUCUUGAGAUGGGAAAUCAAACCUUAGUAAGGAAUUGAAUCUCAAUUAUAUCAAGAUUUUGAAGAAUUCAACUUUGGACUUAAAGAUCAAUAUCUUUUGAACUCUUUCAUGAUUCGGAUUAUAUUUUUCUAUUAUUUUUAUUGUAAUUUAUAUAUCAAUAUGUUAGACUAGAUCCACUUGUGUAUUGGAUGAAGAUGAACACUAUUUGUGAUUAAUUUCUAAUUCAAGACAAGUAGUUUAGUAUUUUUUACGUUUCCUGAUUAAUUUUGCAUACCUAUUGUAUUAUUUAAUUGUUUAGCCACCAAUUAGAUAAUUAGUUGCUUAUUAUAGUUAGAGACUCACAAUAAGUUUAGAACGCAGCAAAAUUAACAUAUCUGCAAUAGAUGUUAGGAAUAACAUUUAUCACAUGUGCAAUCAUAUAGAUAAUCUAAAAUUUAAUGCAUUCUAACCAUUUGAAUUCAGGUUAGGAAGAGAUUUGGGUCAUGGUUAGGAUAUACUUAAUUUGUCUUGGAAAAGAAAAUUAUGUAUCAUAGUUUUAUUGCUUGUCAAUAACGAAUGAACGGAAUUAGAUUAUAAAUCAAUAAUUGGUUAAGCCUUUAUUCAUUCAAAAGAACAUCCUACAAAGAUCAAACAUCAAUUCAAUCAUUGUUUUGAUUCAACUAAAAGAUCAAACACAAAAAAAUCAUUACAUUUACCAAUAAGCCUUCGGAGUUCUGAAGUGUAUAUGAGAUAGCUAGAGUUUCAAUUGUGUAAGAAUGAAUUUGUUCCAGGUAAUCCAUAACAGAGAGAAAAGAAGUCUAGAGUUACUAGAAAGUGCAGGUUGCAGAAUAAAAAAGAGGUUCUUUGGUAAUUUACAACAAAGCUUAAUAUCGAUACGUGAUCCAACUAAAUAAGUCAAUCACUUUUCAUUCCUCCUCAUUUUGAAAAUAGCAAUUAUGCCUAUUGAAAUGUUAGAAUGAGAGAUUUUUUGAAGUCAAUGGAUGAAUGUGUUUGAGUUAUUGUAAAAAAUGGUUGGAUAGUCCCACCUACAUCAGUUGCUGGUGUAGUUAUUCCUAUCGUUAUCUCUACUUGGACUAAGGAUAAUUUAGCCGAGUGUAAUUGGAAUAAUAGAGAUGUCUAUGCCAUAUUUAUGGCUAUUUCCCUCGAAGAGUUUAAGUGUGUCUCCAUGUGCGAACUACUAAAGAUCUUUGUGAUAUUUUAGAAACCAUACAUGAGGAAACUAAAACCAUGAAAAACUCCAAACUUCAAAUGUUGACUAGUAGCUUUGAAGAAAUUAGGAUGAACAAUGAUAAAUCGAUUGAUGAGUUCUAUGUAAAACUAAAUGAUAUAGUAAACUCUAGUUUCAAUCUAGGUGAGCGAAUCUCCAAGGCUAAGAUUGUGAGGAAAGCUAUGACAUCUUUACCUGCAGAUUUGGACCUAAGGUCACAGCAUUUGAGGAAAGUAAAGACAUAAAUGCUAUUAAGAUAGAAGAACUUGUAGAAUCUCUCCAAACAUAUGAACUUAGCCUAUCUCAGUCUAAGAAAAACAAGUCUUCAGCCUUAAAUGCUAUUGAGGAAUAAACUAGUAAUCAAAUUGAUGAUGACACCGAUGAUGAGUUUGCCAAUCUUGGUAAAAAAUUUAAGAAAUUUUGAGAUUUUUUGAUAGUUUAAAUGUGAUUCUAGUAAAAACAGGAACGAUAAAAGAGAGAAGAGAUAUAGCAGGGAUGCUUGGAAGAAUUCCCAAUUUGUGAGUAGUCACAAGUGCCAAGGUUUUGGACAUGUUAAAUUUGAGUUUUCAGGUUCUAAGAAAAUACUAGGUAAGGUUAUAAACCCGACUCUCAUUGAUAGAGAGUCCAACUCCAAUAAUCAAAAAGAGAACUUCAAUCCUGAUGAGGAAGUAAAUUAUAUGGAGAUUUCUUUUGUAGUUAAGAGUGAACCUAUAGAGGAGAUUGAGACACUCGAAGAGAUAAAGUGAUACGGACCCAGUUAGCACGGUCACUAUCGAACCCACAGAAAUUGACAUUAGAUCCCAAGAACACCCAAAUAUGACCAAGGUUUAGGAUCUAAUCCCCAAACGUUGAACCAAGCAACCGAAGGUAUAUUAAACCAACGAUCUCUUGAUCACAAAUUCUCAAAAUCACACCCAAAUUAUGGAUUUGAGCCAAUAUAAUAUGAACCAAAAACCAGCAAGAACGAUGCUUGAAAGACCCCUUGAUUACAUAAUCCAAAGAUUCAACCCGAUAUUUUGAACGUCACAAGAUAUCAAUUCUUAGUAAGUUUAGUAUUAUUGUUCCAUCAAGGAACAAAAUUGAAGUAAAGCUUCGAAGAGAAUUUUUAUUGAUUCAUGAAUAAAGACUUGUGAUUGUUACAAUGAAAAUAAUCUCCUAUAUAUUCUAAAAUCCUAGAAUAAUGAAAUAGAGAAAAAUAUAAUUAAGAAUCCUAAGAAUAUGGUUAAACAGUGCAUAAGAAUCCUAGAAAAUAUAAAGUUGCCAAAAACAAGUAUUUCCAUCAAAAUAGAACUUUCUCGCAAAAGGAAAGAUUUUCACACGAGAAUAUAUCUAUGCGGUCAUAUAGUAGAAAUCAAUGCAAUCGAAUAGAACAAACAUCCAGCUUCAAUUUUUGUCCUGCCCGAUAGUAUGCGGUUACAUGGCAUUUUGAGCUAUGUGGUUGAUAGUUCAAAACUUGACACCUCAUUUUUCUUGUGUAGAAUUUUGUGGCAAUUUCGAAUUGUACUCUUGGGCAAAAACCCGACACCCGAGCUGAAAGUUAUGCCUGUUUUAAUUCACGCUGCUCGUUUUUCUAUAUAUCUUCCAAAACCUGGAAACUAAUUCUCUUCGGCUCUAAAUCCCAACUUGUAAUACUUUAAUUAAUUAGAAAGAAAAGUCAAACAAAAAAAACUAUAAACAAUUAAAAAAAGGGAAGGCGGUGGAUAUAUAUAUAUAUAUAUAUGUCCACCACCAAAGUCUUGCAAAACCCAAUACUCUGUUUUGUUUCACAAUUUAGAGAGAGAGAAAAUGAGAGCAGGUAAAGAAAAAGGAAGAGAAAAGAGAAAGGAAAAAGAAGGAAAAAAAAUAGAAAAAUUUCCCCAACGUGUUAGGAAUUAAGUGCUCUAUACUAUUGGACUUGGAUUUCUCAAUUUUGAAAGGUAAGUAAAAAGUUACUUAUUGAAAGGUUGUGUUUGAUUUUAUAGUUGUUGGAUUGUUAGAUUAAAUUCAAUUUUAUUGAAGGGGUUACGUAUAAACUAUGAAAUUUAGUAAAAUGAAAGAAAAAUUAGUUUUAGUAAUUAAAGAGACUUUAGAAAUCACCUAAACGUAAAAUAAGUAAGUUUUGGUAUCGCCGAUUUAAUUAUUGAAAUUACUUAAAAUAGUUAAUUGUUGAUUUAAAAAUUAUAUUAUAUUUCAAGUGACGAUACAGACAUCAGGACAGUUUACCGAUCGAGUUGAUUUUGGCGUAUAUAGUUCUGUGAGUGAAAAACCUUAAACAUUUUUAAAGUAUUUAUAAAUUAAAUAUAUUAGUAAAGCAAGUGCAAUUAUGUGUUCGAUUUUAUGAUUAUUAAAGAAAUUUCUUUUAUUAUGAUCGAUACGAAAUUUCAAGGAUUAUUUAUGAUAUUGUGAAUUGGAAUAUGAGAUAUGAUAUUGAGAUCGGCCAAAAAAGUACCCAUUAUUACAUACUUCUUUUAGUUCACAAAGAGGUCUUGGCCGUGUUCUAUGCUACACGGAGGGUCUUGACUUGACAUUGGUCUUGAUCGUAUACAUAUAGUUCACAGAGGGGCAUUGGCCAUGUUCUAGAACUGAUUAUGAGAGAUAUUUGAGAUCGACUUUUGUUCACGGAGCGGGCCAAACGCCCAUGGCAAAAGUUCUUAGCUCGAGGGGCGGAUUAUAUAUUUCUGUCAGAAGGUACAUUUUUGGUGGAUUUUUUAGCACGUUUAAUGUGAUGAGAUUAUAGCAUGAUUAUCAGCCGAUGUUCAUAUCAUAAUUUUAAGAUGAUAUUUUAUGAUCUUAUGUGAAUAUUUCACGUUUUGGCUAUAAUUACACGAUGGUAGCUUGUGAAUUAUCAAAUGAUAUGAAUUUGAUUUUUAAUAAAAAUGUAUAAAUGUAUAAGUAUAUUUGUUUUGAACUUCUCCAUUCACUGAGCUAUCAACUCAUAUAUCUUUCUACGUUUUUCCUUAUCAGGCAACAGUUGAGAAUCUGGACAUCUUUUGGAGUUAAGCCUUGAUUUUGAAGUCAGAGCCACAUGAUAGAGUUUGUUAGUAUAAAUCACUUCAUAGAACAUGUAAUCAGUGUUUUGGGAUGCAUGUUCAUGUCUAGAUGUGAUUUUACAUCACUUGUAGAUAGUUAUGGGGCUCACUAUGUAUUUUAUAUCCAUAUGUACAUUUCAUUUUAUUUCUAGGUAAAGAUUGAGGUUUCGGCUUAUCUUUAUUGUGUUGUGUUGUAGUUUGGCAUUUGUGUGAAAUUGAUCACAGGUUGGUUAGCACUGUUUACAGGGGAGAUAAUGCCGAAAUUCUGUUAGAAAAAUGAUGUAUAAAAAAUGAUAUAUUGUACUUGUAGUAGCCUUAAUGGUGUG